GACGAACGCUGGCGGCGUGCCUAACACAUGCAAGUCGAGCGAUGAACCCUUCGGGGGGAUUAGCGGCGGACGGGUGAGUAACACGUGGGUAACCUACCUCAAAGAGGGGGAUAGCCUCCCGAAAGGGAGAUUAAUACCGCAUAAUAUACUUUGAUCGCAUGGUCGAAGUAUUAAAAGAGUAGCCAUUUAUGGCGCAUCUGCUUUGAGAUGGACCCGCGGCGCAUUAGCUAGUUGGUGAGGUAACGGCUCACCAAGGCGACGAUGCGUAGCCGACCUGAGAGGGUGAUCGGCCACAUUGGAACUGAGACACGGUCCAGACUCCUACGGGAGGCAGCAGUGGGGAACAUUGCACAAUGGGCGAAAGCCUGAUGCAGCAACGCCGCGUGAGUGAUGAAGGCCUUCGGGUUGUAAAGCUCUGUCUUCUGGGACGAUAAUGACAGUACCUGGAGAAUAAGCUCCGGCUAACUCCGUGCCAGCCGCCGCCGUAAAAC
rnacentral:rRNA from 1 species